CAAGAUUUUAGCAAGAGUCUGACAUGGAAUACUAGAGAGACUUUAAGGAAGCAAUUUUAGGGAGGUGACUGAGAGAAUUAAGGGAAAUAUGGGCAGUUAGUUUAGACCCAAGGAGCCCUGUGUGUGUGGUAGGGGGUGUGAAAUCUGUCAGAUCAAACCAGUCAAAAGCAUAAAGUCAAGAGUUGUAAUUAGAAUCUGUACCUACUUUUAGAGUCUAGACCUCACCCUUGUGACCUCCCACUUGGAAUGCAAAUGAAAAGGCAAGCAAAUCUGAGGUAUUUCCUGCUAAGCAGUGAUUGUCUAUGAGCAUGAGGUCUAAGAGGGGUGCAUCUGUCGGGGAGACUCCACUGCCAUUGCAGGCCUGACAGGCCUCACUGAAUAAAGCACUCAGAGGAGCCGAUAUCAAGACCUGCAUCCUGCCAGCCUAACUGUUAGGGUGGCUUCCACAAACAGAAAGGCCCAUCAACGGAGAACAGCAACCGUACUGGCUAAAGCUGCUUCAAUCACGCUUCAGAAUCAUUCACAGGUAUCCAUGUGGUAGUUUCCUGAGAACCUGAACUCAAAAGAAUCCACAUAAAGACAGAUGGGGGAUUGCCUUCUUCCCCCCUCUGAUCCAGCUGUCACCAAUACCUUGGGAAAUCUGCAAUGUGGCACAAAGGGACUGUCAAGGCAGAAGCAGCAGAGAGUCUCCACUGUUCAUCAUCACAGUGCUCCUUCUAGUCCAUUGCCCGUGGCAGACAGGAUACCUACAGGAUGCUUGCAGGUCAACGAGAAGGCUCUGGAGUUAAAGGUCAGCACUCCAGCCCCAUAAUAGCAGAGCUGGGAGACACAGUUUUCUGCAAGAGCAUCUCUCACUUCAAGCAAGCUUUAAUCUCCGCAAAAUAAAAGAAAUUAUCUCUACA
rnacentral:lncRNA from 1 species